UGACAAGUGUCCUUGUUUCAUCUCCGCGUGAGGCACAGCGGCCAAGUGAGUGAGGGGACAGCAGCACAGCAGACACUCAACAGGCCGUCCACACUCGCGUCACUCACCCUGGGACGGCUGGCAUUUCGGGUCAGUGAGGACGCGGCAGCCCGCGCGGAGCACCCGUGACGCAGGACGCACAGCCCCUGAAGUUUCAGAAGAUGCGCACGACAUAGAAGACGCAAACUUUCAGACACAAACAAGGGGACACACCCACGGACACACCUGUCUCGGACAGGACAGACCCACGGUCCCUCCUGGAGGACGGCAGGGACGCAGGAGCUGGGACAGAGGGGUGGAGGUCUGUCAGCGGGAGGCGGUGAAUUCUCACGGGGUUCUGCAGGGGUUGGGUGAGGGGUCUGUCCCGGCAGAGACAAGGACAAAGAACAUUUUGGAUGGACAAAGUGGCAUACGUGGCCAUGCACAGAGUCUUGACCUUGAGUACGGGGUGCAGGGCAUUUCACAGUCCAGGCCAGUCGGAAGGGAGGCUGAAGGUACACAGUUCGCUAGAUGUGCUGCCGGAUGCUUGGCCAGAAGUGUUGGCAGUCUCGCCCAAGAAAGGAAAUAAUAAAACUGAACUUCGGAGAAGUCAAGUCUCCCUUGUCAGAGCCGACAAACGGUCUGAGAAGCUGAAAAACAACAUAACCGUGCCUGUCUCAGGCUGGCCCAUUCCACUGUGAUAGCCAAGAAAGGCUACGGAGAAAAAUAUUAUGACUCACAUCCUGGCAUCGACGUGACACAACACCUCAAGAUGAGCGUGUUUUGAAGAGCUGACAUUCACACAGCAUCUAGACGCCAAAAUGGUCCUUGCACCGGGUUCACGUCUCUUUCCUCUUUGUCAGACUGUCCCAGGGACAGACACGUGUCUACGGCUCUGCCUUUCUGUCCUCUCCUUGCCCACUGCACUGCCGGCACGUCCCACCGGGUCAGGAACCCUCCACCGUGCCCUGAGGUCUUCCAGGAUUUCAAUUCCGAUUCCCAGCCCUGGGUCACAUGCUCACCAUUCUGGGCCCUACGGCACGUGCUUGACUGAGACCACCGAAGCGUCUGGACCUCAGAAGCCCCUGCUGAGCGGUCCUGUGCUCGCAGACGUGUCCUCCUGCACCCCUCCCUGGGACGCGGCACACACAAGGGAAGAAGUCGGCAUGUGUGUGCUUAGCCCCUUAGCAAGCAUCGGGACAAUUAAUGGGGAACGUCUCAAUGACAAUGUUUCUUUCUCCAAGAAACUUUGAAUUAAUUCUUCAAAUUAUUGUGCUGUGCGGGGUGGGGUGGGGGCAGGUUUGGGAAAAAUCUUGCAUUGAUUUUAGAGAAAUGCUAGUUUUCCCAGAAAUCUGAAGGUGGAGUAUGCUUAUACUAUAGUGAACAAAGGUGUCCAGACACUGUGAAAUCCAGUCUUUCUUCUCUCCCAAAUUACAGAGCGUGAGAAGUGGUUUCCUGGCUUUCCGCUUCCUGCUCCGAGCAUGUUGGGAAGUGAGACCACAGGAGUCUAGAUUUACAUUGUUGGGAUUUUUUUUUUUUUUUCAGUAAAUGC